AUGGACGCUAGCAGUUGUAGCCCCAGUGGAGCCGCUCUACCAACAACCCGGCUACUCCCGAUACGCACGCAACGAUCAGCAGUGGCCGAAUGGACGACGACGGACUAUUCCGCGACCGCGGCGGCAGCGGAGGAGGAGCCCUUGAGCCCCACUGCAAGGCUCAUGGAAACCAUACACAUCAUCGUCACCGUCGGCCUUGGCUGCCCCGUAAACCUCCCCGUCUUCAGCGCCAGCAUCGCCGCCCAGCUUGCCCGCUACCCACGCUUCCGUAGCAUCCAAGUGACAGACGGCUCAAAAGGCCCACGGUGGGUGCGGACGGCGGUGAACGUGGACGACCACAUGAUCGUCCCGACGCUGCACCCCGUCGCCGUGGAGGCCGACCCGGACCGGGCCUUGGAGGACUACGUGGCCUCGCUGUACACUCUCCCCAUGGACCGCUCCCGUCCACUCUGGGAGUUCCACUUCCUAGACUUCCCAACAUCCGAGGCGGCCUCCACCGCGGUGAUCCGCCUGCACCACUCUCUCGGUGACGGGAUGUCGCUGAUCACGCUGCUCCUGGCGUCCGCCCGGAGCGUCGCCGACCCAACACGCCUGCCGGCCAUGCCGGAGCAGCCGGCGCGCACUGGCGCCAUCUACGUGCCACGGCGCCGGCAGCCCCCGGCCGCAGGUGUCCUGGCAGCGUUCGUCACAUGGAUCUGGUCGUAUCUUGUGCUCGUAUGGAACACCAUGGUAGACUUUGCCAUCUUUGCUGUGACCAUUGUGUUCCGUAGAGACCUGCACACGCUCUUCAAACGUGUGGACGGCGACGUCACGUCCAACCGCAGCAGGCGCUUUGUGCACCGGAGUAUUAGCUUGGACGAUGUCAAGCUCAUCAAGAAUGUCAUGAACUGCACUGUCAAUGAUGUGCUAGUCGGGGCGACUUCGGCAGCUCUGUCACGAUAUUACUUUCGCAAGUCUGGUUCCUCUAAGGCCAACAAACUAUGUUUGCGGUCUGUUCUCCCUGUCAAUACAAGACCAACCACUAGCCUACAAACCUAUGUUGAUAUGAUAGAAUCCGGUAAGAGUAACGAUGUGGCAUGGGGAAAUCAACUAGGCUACAUCCUCCUUCCAUUUCAUUUAGCGAUGCACAGUGAUCCACUUGCAUAUGUUCGCAAGGCAAAGAAGAUCAUCGAUAGGAAAAAGAGCUCACUUGAAGUUAUCUUCACGUGUAAGAUGAAUGCAUUUUUUGUCAAAAUGUUUGGCAUGAAGGUGGCCUCUUUUAUCUAUCAACGCAUGUUCGCCAAUACAACUUUUUUGUUCUCAAACAUGGUUGGACCAACUGAACAAAUAGAGUUCUACGGGCACCCAAUUGUCUUCAUUGCACCUUGUAGUUAUGGAGGUCCACAUGCCUUAGUUGUGCAGUACCAGAGUUACGAUAACACUAUUAAGGUAAUUCUGUCAGUCGACGAUGAAGUGAUUCCAGAUUAUGCUCAACUUUUGGAUGACUUCACUGAGUCCUUCGGGCGCAUUAAGGAUGCGUCUUCAAGGCUUUCAGCAUCCAUCAUCAAGAAAGAGUAA
rnacentral:rRNA from 1 species